UACGUAGGGGGCAAGCGUUGUUCGGAAUGACUGGGCGUAAAGGGUGCGUAGGCGGUGUAGCAAGUUAGAAGUGAAAUACCUAGAGCUUAACUCAGGUGCUGCUUCUAAAACUGCUAUACUUGAGUGCAGUAGAGGAAAGUGGAAUUCCUAGUGUAGCGGUGAAAUGCGUAGAUAUUAGGAGGAACACCAGUGGCGAAGGCGGUCUGCUGGACAGCAACUGACGGUGAGGCGCGAAAGCGUGGGGAGCAAACAGG
rnacentral:rRNA from 1 species